rnacentral:piRNA from 1 species
UUUUAAGAAUGGUACAAUUUC